rnacentral:lncRNA from 1 species
ACGCAUGCGCAGGGCCGGCCGGCCGCACCUCGCCAACUCCUAUUCCGACACGUCAUCUAGAAUAAUUUGGACAGCCUUUUCUGAGUUUCCCAUGAGGACUUCUGUAUGAGAUUGUCAGAUAUAGCAAAUAGAAGUACAGUAUGCCCAGUGCGUUUUGUUCAAUUCUUUGUUCAAAACCCCAAGAAUGUGGACACUUGCAGUCAAGACCCUCUACCGGUUUGGUGAGCCAGUCUUUCAGCGGCUGUUUUCCAGUAGCUCCUUGGCAAUUGAGGGGAACUGGUCGAGGCCACUCUCUGGUGUUGUCUGAAGGCCAAGGAGUGAACAGGGAUGGCUGCCCUGCCUUGAAGAGGGAAGGUCUCUUUUCUAUCCUUUCCAGCUAUAGUCCCUGAUCCCUACAUGUGAUGCAGUUGGCAGCGGAAGCUCAUCCUGGGCGAACUCACACACAUUUCAGGCUACUUAAACCUUUUCUUAUGCUAAAUUCUUCCCUUCUCCUACUCAUCUGGCUAAAGGACAGACUAUGCAAAAAAGGUUAUACAAGUCAGAGGGUCUGGGCAUGUCGGAGGUGGUCUGU